rnacentral:rRNA from 1 species
AGCUCCAAUAGCGUAUAUUUAAGUUGUUGCAGUUAAAAAUCUCGUAGUUGGAUCUUGGGACGUAGAGGUCGGUCCGCCUACUCGGUGUGCACCUGCCCUUCCGUCCCUUUUGUCGGCGGCGUGCUCCUGGCCUUAAUUGGCUGGGUCGCGGUUCCGGCACUGUUACUUUGAAAAAAUUAGAGUGCUCAAAGCAAGCUUAUGCUCUGAAUACAUUAGCAUGGAAUAACGUGAUAGGAGUCUGGUCCUAUUGUGUUGGCCUUCGGGAACGGAGUAAUGAUUAAUAGGGACUGUCGGGGGCAUUCGUAUUUCAUUGUCAGAGGUGAAAUUCUUGGAUUUAUGAAAGACGGACCACUGCGAAAGCAUUUGCCAAGGAUGUUUUCA